UACAGGGGUGCGAGCGUUGUCCGGAAUCACUGGGCGUAAAGGGCGCGUAGGCGGCUUCUCAAGCGUGCGGUGAAAGCUCGGGGCUUAACUCCGAGUCUGCCGUGCGAACUGGGAGGCUUGAGUCUGGUAGAGGUCGAUGGAACUCCGGGUGUAGCGGUGGAAUCGUAGAGAUCCGGAAGAACACCGGUGGCGAAGGCGGUCGACUGGGCCAGAACUGACGCUGAGGCGCGACAGCGUGGGGAGCAAACAGG
rnacentral:rRNA from 1 species